rnacentral:rRNA from 1 species
UACGUAGGGUGCCAGCGUUAAUCGGAAUUACUGGGCGUAAAGCGUGCGCAGGCGGUUCUAUAAGACAGAUGUGAAAUCCCCGGGCUCAACCUGGGAACUGCAUUUGUGACUGUAGAGCUGGAGUACGGCAGAGGGGGAUGGAAUUCCGCGUGUAGCAGUGAAAUGCGUAGAUAUGCGGAGGAACACCGAUGGCGAAGGCAAUCCCCUGGGCCUGUACUGACGCUCAUGCACGAAAGCGUGGGGAGCAAACAGG